AACGAACGCUGGCGGCAGGCUUAACACAUGCAAGUCGAGCGGCCCGCAAGGGCAGCGGCAGACGGGUGAGUAACGCGUGGGGACGUACCCUUAUCUUCGGGAUAGCUCCGGGAAACUGGAAUUAAUACCGAAUGUGCCCUAUGGCGGAAAGAUUUAUCGGGUAAGGAGCGGCCCGUGUUGGAUUAGCUAGUUGGUGGGGUAAAGGCCUACCAAGGCGACGAUCCAUAGCUGGUCUGAGAGGAUGAUCAGACACAUCGGGACUGAGACACGGCCCAAACUCCUACGCGAGGCAGCAGUGGGGAAUAUUGGACAAUGGGCGCAAGCCUGAUCCAGCCAUGCCGGGUGAGUGAUGAAGGCCUUAGGGUUGUAAAGCUCUUUCACAGGAGAAGAUAAUGACGGUAUCCGGAGAAGAAGCCCCGGCUAACUUCGUG
rnacentral:rRNA from 1 species